GGGGUGUGAUCUACAAUCGAUACCGAAGCCAAAUAUAUAGUUUUUAGAAUUUUUGUCUGUUUGUCUGUUUGUCUGUAUGUAUGUCCGGGAUAAGCUCAAAAAGUACUGCAUGGAUUUACUUCAAAUUUGACACGAAUAUUAUCACGCUAUCAACUACACGAGCAGUGAACCUUUAUUUCUUCAACGCAUUCUGUAACAACGUGUAAUCUAACGACGCAUAUUUGAAUGUUGUUGUUAUUAUGUUAAUAACCAUGCUAUAAGCUAGCUUCACACUUUAAAUAAAGACAUUCUG
rnacentral:misc_RNA from 1 species